UGAGGAAUAUUGGACAAUGGGUGGAAGCCUGAUCCAGCCAUCCCGCGUGCAGGAAGACGGCCCUAUGGGUUGUAAACUGCUUUUAUCUGGGGAUAAACCUACUUACGUGUAAGUAGCUGAAGGUACCAGAAGAAUAAGCACCGGCUAACUCCGUGCCAGCAGCCGCGGUAAUACGGAGGGUGCAAGCGUUAUCCGGAUUUAUUGGGUUUAAAGGGUCCGUAGGCGGACUGAUAAGUCAGUGGUGAAAUCCGACAGCUUAACUGUCGAACUGCCAUUGAUACUGUUAGUCUUGAGUAAGGUUGAAGUGGCUGGAAUAAGUAGUGUAGCGGUGAAAUGCAUAGAUAUUACUUAGAACACCAAUUGCGAAGGCAGGUCACUAAGUCUUAACUGACGCUGAUGG
rnacentral:rRNA from 1 species